GACGAACGCUGGCGGCGUGCUUAACACAUGCAAGUCGAACGAAGUGGCGAACGGGUGAGUAACGCGUAAACAACCUGCCCUUCAGAGGGGGACACCAGUUGGAAACUACUGCUUAUACCGCAUACUGAAGUAGGUUAUUCCGUCGGAUGAGCUAGUUGGAGGGGUAACGGCCCACCAAGGCGAUGAUCAGUAGCCGGUCUGAGAGGGUGAACGGCCACAUUGGGACUGAGACACGGCCCAGACUCCGACGGGAGGCAGCAGUGGGGAAUCUUCCGAAAUGGACGAAAGUCUGACGAAGCAACGCCGCGUGAGGGAUGACGGCCUUCGGGGUGUAAAGCUCUGUUAAUCGGGACGCGGUACCGGAAUAGAAAGCCACGGCUAACUACGUGCCAGCAGCCGCGGUAAUUC
rnacentral:rRNA from 1 species